rnacentral:misc_RNA from 1 species
GAUGAAGAACGUAGUGAAAUGCGAUAAGUAAUGUGAAUUGCAGAAUUCAGUGAAUCAUCGAAUCUUUGAACGCAUCUUGCGCUCCUUGGUAUUCCGAGGAGCAUGCCUGUUUGAGUGUCAUUUUAACUUCUCAACCAUAUCGAAUUGUUUUUCGAGGUGGCUUGGACAGGGGGGUUUUGCAGGCUUUAAUAAUGAAGUCGGCUCCUCUGAAAUGCAUUAGUGGUAUCUGAAGCAGAACUGCUACUAUUAGGUGUGAUAAUUAUCUAUGCCUCUUGGUAUACUGCAUGAACAGAUUGCGCUGCUUCCAACUUGUACACCCUUUGGUGUUUGACAAAUUUGACCUCAAAUCAGGUAGGACUACCCGCUGAACUUAAGCAUAUCAAUAAGCGGAGGA